GGAAGUAGUCAGGGUAAUCGCGAGGGUGUGGCACUUUUAACAAGUUCCAUGUCUUUGAGGAAAGUCCGGGCUCCACAGGGCAGGUCGCCGGAUAACAUCCGGUGCAGGUGACUGUGAGGAUAGUGCCACAGAAAUGAUGACUGCCGAUGGACUCGUUUUACGAGUAACAGGCGAGGGUGCAACGGUGGUGUAAGAGACCACCGGCAACAUCGAGAGGUGUUGGCCAGGUAAACCCCGACCGGAGCAAGGUUAAAGUGGGAAUUAAGGCUGCCCGCCAUUCCCGAGGUAUACCGCUCGAGGUGUGCAGAAAUGUACAUCCCAGAUAGAUGAUUACCACGAUAUUUUAUAUCGACAGAACCCGGCUUAUAGGCUGCUUCCUAUA
rnacentral:RNase_P_RNA from 1 species